CUACCGGAGGGGGAGGCAGCAGUCGAGCCAGGCGGAGAACCAGGCGAGGGUUGAGAGGGAGCAGGCCGAGGAGUUGCAUC
rnacentral:SRP_RNA from 1 species